rnacentral:rRNA from 1 species
AUGAACGCUGGCGGCGUGCCUAAUACAUGCAAGUCGAGCGAACAGACGAGGAGCUUGCUCCUCUGACGUUAGCGGCGGCCGGGUGAGUAACCCGUGGAUAACCUACCUAUAAGACUGGGAUAACUUCGGGAAACCGGAGCUAAUACCGGAUAAUAUAUUGAACCGCAUGGUUCAAUAGUGAAAGACGGUUUUGCUGUCACUUAUAGAUGGAUCCGCGCCGCAUUAGCUAGUUGGUAAGGUAACGGCUUACCAAGGCAACGAUGCGUAGCCGACCUGAGAGGGUGAUCGGCCACACUGGAACUGAGACACGGUCCAGACUCCUACGGGAGGCAGCAGUAGGGAAUCUUCCGCAAUGGGCGAAAGCUUGACGGAGCAACGCCGCGUGAGUGAUGAAGGUCUUCGGAUCGUAAAACUCUGUUAUUAGGGAAGAACAAAUGUGUAAGUAACUAUGCACGUCUUGACGGUACCUAAUCAGAAAGCCACGGCUAACUACGUG